CCUACGGGUGGCAGCAGUGAGGAAUAUUGGUCAAUGGACGAGAGUCUGAACCAGCCAAGUAGCGUGAAGGAUGACUGCCCUAUGGGUUGUAAACUUCUUUUAUAAAGGAAUAAAACGAGGCACGCGUGCCUUUCCGCAUGUACUCUAUGAAUAAGGAUCGGCUAACUCCGUGCCAGCAGCCGCGGUAAUACGGAGGAUCCGAGCGUUAUCCGGAUUUAUUGGGUUUAAAGGGGGCGGAGGUGGGUAGUUAAGUCAGUUGUGAAAGUUUGCGGCUCAACCGUAAAAUUGCAGUUGAAACUGGCAGUCUUGAGUGCAGUAGAGGUAGGCGGAAUGCGUGGUGUAGCGGUGAAAUGCUUAGAUAUCACGAAGAACCCCGAUUGCGAAGGCAGCUUACU
rnacentral:rRNA from 1 species